UACUUGUGUUCCAUCGUCCAGAGCUGUUUCUCUAACUGCUUUUCUGAGAGCACGUGCGGUUCUUUCAAUCUAUAGAUCCAAUGGUAUUAAUGAUGAUCAUGAACUAAGCAUACACAAACAGAAAAUAUCUUAGUAGCACUAUGAUAAACAAGAAAAAAACAAAAAUAAAACAUACUAAAAUAAAACGUUGCACAAACGUCGCCUUGUUGAGAUAUCAAUAGUCCCCAGCAACAGUGCCAAAAACUUGAU
rnacentral:lncRNA from 1 species